AAAUAAAAAUGUGUAAUAUCACAUAGUGAAGAGUUUGAAAUUCAAAGUUUCAGAAUAUAGUAAUAAGACAAAAGAGAGGUUUU